UCCAAACAGGGCUGCGUUCCUGCGCCCAGAGAAGAGAUGCCCAUUGGCCAUCCUGCUCAUUAUGAGACGCUUUACGUCUUCAUCCAUGCCUAAAACAAUAGAAAUCUUCGGUACAUUAUUUUCUAAGGCAUAUGCGAAUACAGUAGUUACAUGUUAUAAAUAAUAUAUGUUAAGAAUCCAACAAAUUAUCAUUUGCUAUGUGAAAUCUCGACAGUAAAAAUUACACUUGCUAGUUUCGAGUCAAAAAUUGCAUUUAAGCUGAGUUAGUGGCCAAUUAUAAAUUAAUCCAUCAAUAUGUAUAAUUUUACUUAGUUAUAUCUUGCUACAGAUUUAUUUGUAUUAAUAAAAUAGUUACUUACAUUUGUAAAAGUUGCCGCCUCCGGUGUUUACGUCCGCCAUUUGCAAUUUUUUUGCACUGUGCCGCGUCUCCGCGUUGGAUUAUGGGAAAUAGGGGUCGGCAGAGUGUACAUCGUAUGUACCCUCGAAAUCAGAUUGCAUUGUGGGUAAGAAAGAGUGAACAAAUGUAGGGAAUGAGAUGUAGGGAAUGAAUUCGGACACCACUACAAAAUGGCUGACACCCGAAAUAGUGCACUAUUUAGAGGAUAGGGGGCGGUUUCGGACACAGCUACUGUCUUUGAGGCACCAGGAAGCACAUUCACAACAACAGGAAAUAACUCCAUACCUUCUGGGAUGCAACUUUUGGAGCUGGUUAAAACAUCAUAGUUCCACCCUUGUGCCACCCUUUUACUCGAUAUCUCACCUCUAAGACUUGACCACAAUGGAUGGUGACUCCUACCUUUCUAGUCUUUACUUCUCUGCAACUUCAAGGCCUCAGAAAGAAGAUCUGUGACUUUAUUUGUAAAGUCACAAUUCUCUCUUAUGAUCUCCUCAAUCACAUUGAAACCCAGCAGGGGACAGUCCAUGCACUUUUGACUCACCAACAGGGGUACCUGGAUGGCGAUUCGUCCAUGUUUGCUACUUGAUAUUGCUUGUAGUACUUCAACCCAUCCAUCAAAGGGUAUAACUGUCCCAUUAGCGGAAAUGACAUUAAGCUGGCCAUUUGCUAGUAAGGAUUUCAAUGGUUGAAUUUCAACUCUUGCAAAUUCAAUGCUGACAAUGCUGACCUGAGCCCCACUGUCUAAAGAGCAUUUGAGCUUGAACACCAUUUAAAUGGCAAGUUACCAUGCAACAGCUGCCAAUCAAUUGUGCAACCCGUUUCUCUUCAUUCAUUUGCAUUUACUCUUUUUGGUAGGCUCUCGGUUACAGAUGUCUCACUUCGGAAUGCACUGAAAGAAGAUUAGGACACAAGAUCUUCUGCGGUCACUGGUGGUCCCUCCCAGGGACCUCCUCUCUUUUAACGCUUGACUUUUCAGGAGACAGCCAACGACCCGGUGUUCUGCUUGACCACCUAGAAAACAGUGAGUACAAGAGUCAAUGUUUUGCCGUAUAUAUUGUUUUCCACUUUCCCUUUGUUUCAGAUUUUGUUGGGUUUUCUGCACUUUCUGCAGUAGCUUUGGUUUGCUGUGGGCCACUAGUACCAAUGGACCUCAGAACUUUCUCGAGGUUCGCGGUCAAAGCAAAUACUUGCGCACAGAGUUCAUGGAUGGCUUCCCGAUUGGCUUUGACUUCAGAUUGACUCUGGGGAAAACACUACCCAUUUACAUCAUCCUGCUUUGUUACACUACAAUUUGUGACUUUGGACCCCGAUACAGUGAAUGGAGGAAAACACCUUGGACCAGUUUGCGGUCAUACUGAAACUCAGACUCAGUUUGUUGUGAAGCAAACAACACUCUCUGCUUAAGAUCCAUUAACCUGUACACAAAGUGGGAAUAUUCUCUGUCAUGUUGUUUUGCAUUUCUCAACUCCUGCAAUAAUUCAGUACUGCUUUUGUACCUAAGUCUCUGCACUCUCUUCUUCACUGGUGGUGAAGCCUUGUCCUGGGUCAGUCAAAUCAUCAAUGAGGGCACGGAGGUAAAGAAGGUGGGCCAUCCCUUGGUCCUCCAGACUUGCAGUUGUUCCCCUCUCAUGAAGUCAACAAUUAAGUCAUAGAGUUCCACUUCUGCGGCAUCCACGUUUGGGAACAACUCUCCUUCCCCUUCAUGGCAAAACUCAGCUAUUUUGUAGAGCACCUUGCAGUUUGAUGAGCUGACCAACAGGUGGAGUUGCUUCUCAAUGUCCCACCGUAUAUCUCGAAGAGUAGUCAUGACUGGAAAGCUGAUGUCUGCUGUUCAACUUGCUGGUCUAGUCUCACUGAAGAUAAUCACUGUGAUUUUUCACUGAUUAGCACCUGACCACCAAGAGGUGCCAAUCCAGGACAAGCCCCCAAGUUGUUACCCACCUCAGGCCAGGGUGGCCUGAGUGGAUAAUUUAAAGUUGGAUAGUGAACUGUAGAAAGAGAGAGAAAUACCAUGAAAUGAUAAGUGGGUGCAAGCUCUGGCAGCAUUAAUACUCCAGUGCUAAGCGCCCUCUACAGGAGGCAAUAAUAAUUUAAACUCAAACCUCUUAAUUCAACCCAUACCUCUCUUAAUACAUCAUAAAUGUU